rnacentral:rRNA from 1 species
UACGUAGGCAGCAAGCGUUGUUCGGAGUUACUGGGCGUAAAGGGUGCGUAGGCGGCUGUUUAAGUUUGGUGUGAAAUCUCCCGGCUCAACUGGGAGGGUGCGCCGAAUACUGAGUGGCUAGAGUGUGGGAGAGGAAAGUGGAAUUCCUGGUGUAGCGGUGAAAUGCGUAGAUAUCAGGAGGAACACCGGUGGUGUAAACGGCUUUCUGGACCAUAACUGACGCUGAGGCACGAAAGCGUGGGUAGCAAACAGG